rnacentral:rRNA from 1 species
UGUUGGUGAGGUAACGGCUCACCAAGGCUACGAUGGAUAGGGGAACUGAGAGGUUUAUCCCCCACACUGGAACUGAGACACGGUCCAGACUCCUACGGGAGGCAGCAGUGAGGAAUAUUGGUCAAUGGAGGCAACUCUGAACCAGCCAAGUCGCGUGAAGGAUGACGGUCUUAUGGAUUGUAAACUUCUUUUGUACAGGAAUAAAGUUAGCCACGUGUGGUUUUUUGCAUGUACUGUACGAAUAAGGAUCGGCUAACUCCGUGCCAGCAGCCGCGGUAAUACGGAGGAUCCGAGCGUUAUCCGGAUUUAUUGGGUUUAAAGGGUGCGCAGGCGGGAUGUUAAGUCGGCGGUGAAAUUUUGCGGCUCAACCGUAAAAGUGCCUUCGAAACUGGCAUUCUUGAGUAUGGAUGAAGUAGGCGGAAUUUGUGGUGUAGCGGUGAAAUGCUUAGAUAUCACGAGGAACUCCGAUUGCGCAGGCAGCUUACUAAACCAUAACUGACGCUCAUGCACGAAGGCGUGGGGAUCAAACAGGAUUAGAUACCCUGGUAGUCCACGCAGUAAACGAUGAUUACUAGUUGUUUGCGAUACACAGUA